rnacentral:rRNA from 1 species
GUCCACGCCCUAAACGAUGUCGACUGGUUGUUGGGGUUUGACACUCUCAGUAACGAAGCUAACGCGUGAAGUCGACCGCCUGGGGAGUACGGCCGCAAGGUUAAACUCAAAGGAAUUGACGGGGACCCGCACAAGCGGUGGAUUAUGUGGAUUAAUUCGAUGCAACGCGAAAACCUUACCUACCCUUGACAUGUCCGAGAGCCUGAAGAGAUUCGGGUGUGCCCGAAAGGGAAUCGUAACACAGGUGCUGCAUGGCUGUCGU